GCCCCCAGCUAAUAUAUGUUCACACUCCCUGCAAAUGGAGCAGCAUAAUUUGCUUUGCUUCUCUGGCCUCAGCACAAAAGUAGUUUUGUUAAUGUGGCCAAGCUGUGAUGAAUCAGACACCUUACUUUCUAGCGAACAUCCAGCCUGAUCUACUUCUGGACAGCUGAGGCCCUGGCUUGAAAGACGAAGACAGAGACAGAGAUACAGAUGGGAGGAUAUUACAACACUAAAGCUUCCUUCAGGGUGAUGGGGACCAGGUUUGAAUCGAAUUACACACAAAACAAAGGAAGCACACUAUCCAGGUUCCAGAUGCUACCUUGAUGACAACCAGACUUCCUUGGGCAGACAACCCCACCAAUGCCUCCUGGAGCCCCGCUUCCCCAUAGCCCCACCCCACUAGGAAAAGAGAGAAACAGUCUGAGAGUAUGAAUCGACCUGUCAAUGCCCAUGUUCAGCGGGGAAGCAAUUACAGAAGCCAGACCUUCCACCUUCUGCACCCCAUAAUGACCCUGGGUCCAUACUCCCAGAGGGUUAAAGAAUAGGAAAGUUAUCAGGGUAGGGGAUGGGAUAUGGGGUUCUGGUGGUUAGAAUUGUGUGGAGCUGUACCCCUUUUAUCCUAUGGUUUUUGUCAGUGUUUCCUUUUAAUAAAUAAAAAUUAAAA